GCCAGGUAGAAACCACACCUAGUGUUUUAAGCCAGUGACCUUGUCCAUCUGUCAUUCAGGGCAGACAGCUUUCCAGCAAGUGCAGCCUCCCAGAAGGUGCUUGGCUCAGAGGCAAACAGCAAUUUCUAAAAUCCCUAAUUAAGUAAGCAGGGGAAAGGGCAAAGGUUUUCUUUCACUCUACAACCCGGCAAGCCCUCUCCCCCUCAGACAGGCGUUGUUAAGCCUCUUCGUCUGAACUGGCAGCAGCCAAGGGCCCACUGUUGUUGGCAUGGGUUUUCCUGUUGAAAGACACUUUAAUGAGCGAGUUGGCACCGUGUUCUGCACCUCGUAAAUAAAUCAGCCCGACGUAGAAUCGAGAGGCGGCUGUUGAUGGUGUGUACUCACACGGCGUCCUGAACCUGAGCUCUUCAGAGUUGAUUCACCACGCCUUCCUGCAGCCCAUGAGGGAGAGAGGCGGCAGGAAUUAUUAUCCCUGCUUUCAAACCAGGGACUGAGAGAGAGGUUAAGAGGCAGUAAGUUGGAA